rnacentral:rRNA from 1 species
GGGCUUGACAUCCCACGAACCUGGCUGAAAGCUGGAGGUGCCCGCAAGGGGGCCCAGAGACAGGUGGUGCGUGGCUGUCGUCAGCUCGUGUCGUGAGAUGUUGGGUUAAGUCCCGCAACGAGCGCAACCCUCACCCCUAGUUGCCACCGGAUAGUGCCGAGCACUCGAGGGGAACUGCCAGCGUCAAGCUGGAGGAAGGCGGGGAUGACGUCAAGUCAUCAUGCCCCUUACGUCCUGGGCUACACACGUGCUACAAUGGCCAGUACAAAGGGAUGCAAGACCGCGAGGUGGAGCUAAUCCCAAAAAACUGGUCUAAGUUCAGAUUGCAGUCUGCAACUCGACUGCAUGAAGGAGGAAUCGCUAGUAAUCGCGCAUCAGCCCGGCGCGGUGAAUACGUUCCCGGGCCUUGUACACACCGCCCGUCACACCACGAAAGCUUACUGUACUCGAAGUCGCUGAG